rnacentral:misc_RNA from 1 species
GAAUUCUCGGUCGUCAUCGACGAAUUUAAAAAGAAAAAAAAAAAGAAAUGAAAAAAAUGAAAAAAGGAGGAAAAAAUGAACGACGAAACGUCGCUCAUAUUUCUUUCAUUCCGCUCGUUAGCGACGCGAGCAUCGCGAUGAUGAGGCGAUAAAUCGCGGGAACAGCCUUGACUCCUGAGGUAAAAAUCACUCGCAAUACAAGCGAAUGCCUUUGCAGGAUUCACACUCCGGCGGAUUUUAUUCCGCGCUAGACGCUGGAGAUCGCUCCGCGAGAUUCUUUCCCAGAAUCGUCUGGCUAGGAGAAAAUCGGCAUUGAGAAUCGGAGAAAAAGAAAGCUGCCGUGCGAUCCAAGAAAUUGCCUUCUCAUCAUCAAACCGCAAUAUUUUCUAAACUCGUACACUGUACUCUCCAAUCCGCAGCGUUGCAUUUGUAUGGAUGUACUUUUAACGUCUUUAUCCGGAUUCUCGAUGCUUCGGAUGGGGAAAAAGGUGAUCGAAAGACGCGACGGACUCGAUGAAAGG